rnacentral:rRNA from 1 species
CCUACGGGUGGCAGCAGUGAGGAAUAUUGGUCAAUGGGCGUAAGCCUGAACCAGCCAAGUCGCGUGAGGGAUGAAGGUUCUAUGGAUCGUAAACCUCUUUUAUAAGGGAAUAAAGCGUGGGACGCGUCCCCUGUUGUAUGUACCUUAUGAAUAAGGAUCGGCUAACUCCGUGCCAGCAGCCGCGGUAAUACGGAGGAUCCGAGCGUUAUCCGGAUUUAUUGGGUUUAAAGGGGGCGUAGGCGGGAUUUUAAGUCAGUGGUGAAAGUUUGUGGCUCAACCCUAGAAUUGCAGUUGAAACUGGGAGUAUUGAGUAUGUUAGAGGUAGGCGGAAUGCGUGGUGUAGCGGUGAAAUGCUUAGAUAUCACGAAGAACUCCGAUUGCGAAGGCAGCCUGCCGGCC